rnacentral:rRNA from 1 species
AACGAACGUUGGCGGCGUGGAUUAGGCAUGCAAGUCGAACGAAUCCCACGGGGGGUAACUCUCGUGGGGAAAGUGGCGAAAGGGGCAGUAAGGCGUGGGUAACCUGCCCCCGGGACGGGGAUAGCCCUCCUAACGGAGGGGUAAUACCCGGCGAGCUGGCCUUGAGGCAUCUUGAGGCCAGGAAAGGAGUUUCCCCUGGGGAGGGGCUCACGUGGUAUUACCUGGUUGGCGGGGUAACGGCCCACCAAGGGGAAGAUGCCUAGCGGGUGUGAGAGCACGACCCGCGCCACUGGCACUGGGACACUGGCCAGACUCCUACGGGAGGCUGCAGUCGAGGAUCUUCGGCAAUGGGCGCAAGCCUGACCGAGCGACGCCGCGUGUGCGAUGAAGGCCUUCGGGUUGUAAAGCACUGUCGAGGGGGAGAAAAGCCGCAAGGCUUGAUCUAUCCCUGGAGGAAGCACGGGCUAAGUUCGUGCCAGCCGCCGCAGUAACAC